rnacentral:rRNA from 1 species
GACGAACGCUGGCGGCGGGCCUAACACAUGCAAGUAGAACGGAGUUGCGAACGGGUGAGUAAAGCGUAGGUAACUGCCUCAUAGCGGGGGGUAACUAUUGGAAACGAUAGCUAAUACCGGAUACUGUGAGAUGGACCUGCGUUGUAUUAGCUAGUUGGUGGGGUAAAGGGUCACCAAGGCGACGAUACAUAGCCGGGCCGGGAGGGUGGUCUGUCACACUUGGACUGGGACACGGCCCAGGCUCCUACGGGGAGCAGCAGUAGGGAAAGUUCGGAAAAGGGGGGAAGUCUGACUGAGCAACGGCGCGUGAGUGGAGGAGGUUUUCGGGUUGUAAAACUCUGUUGUGAGAGAAGCGGUAACUAACCAAAAAGGGACGGCUAACUACGUGCCAGCAGCCGCGGUAAUUC